rnacentral:rRNA from 1 species
UACGAAGGGAGCUAGCGUUGUUCGGAAUCACUGGGCGUAAAGCGCACGUAGGCGGAUGUGUCAGUCAGGGGUGAAAUCCCCGGAGCUCAACUUCGGAACUGCCUUUGAUACAGCACGUCUUGAGUCCGAUAGAGGUGGGUGGAAUUCCUAGUGUAGAGGUGAAAUUCGUAGAUAUUAGGAAGGACACCGGUGGCGAAGGCGGCCCACUGGAUCGGUACUGACGCUGAGGUGCGAAAGCGUGGGGAGCAAACAGG